UCGGGCCCUGGAGGAACAGGUGAGGGAACUUCAGGCUGAGGUGAGCAGACUAUGGGGGAUCAGGGCUGUGGAGGAUGAGAUUGACAUGUAUUUCCAUUCUCUGCAGGAUCAGUCUUCCAACAGACAGACUUCCCAGGAAGGACACACAGUAGAGGAAUGGCAGAAGGUGACCAUCAGAACCAGGGCUGCUCGGGUUAGCGUGGUGGUGCUCCCCAAGUACAACUGGGGAACAGAUUCGAGGCAUUGGCAGCCUUGGAGGAGAAGGUUGAAGUGAAUGCCCCUGGUGGGGACGGUGCCACUCUACGCACAGCAUGGUCUGAGCAAGGACAGAACACCAUGAGGAAGAAACACUGAGUCCUUGUCAUCGGAGACUCCAUCCUGAGGGGAACAGAGGGUCCCAUCUGCCGACCCAACCCCAUGGCACAUGAAGUCUGCUGCCUGCCUGGGGCUUGGAUCCAGGAUGUUACAGGCAUGAUCCUGGACCUCAUUCGACCCUCAGACCAGUACCCUACGGUCCUAAUCCAUAUGGGAACAAAUGACAUGGCAGGGAGGAGUCCAGGCAGCAUCAUGAAGGACUACAAUGCCCUGGGGGCCAAGCUCAAGGAGAUGGGGGUGCAGGUGGUAUUCUCCUCUGUUCUCCCAGUAAGUAGACAUGGACGGUGCCAUGAGGCCUGCAUUGAAGUGGUCAACCAGUGGCUUUGGAGUUGGUGCUACCAGGCAGGCCUCAGGUUCCUUGACAAUGGCCCACAUUUUUAUGCAGGGGGCAUGCUCAGGUGGGAUGGGCUUCACCUCUCCCCUAAAGGCGAGUGUGUCUUCUCUUCCAGAUUGGCUGAUCUCAUACAGCAUACUUUAAACUAGCUUCAUUGGGGGAUAGGGCCACAGGGGGGCACGAGGACACUUCCCAGCCAAGACAAGUGGUGAGCACAGGAAGUACCCAGGUAAGUGACAGGGGUCCAGAUAUUCCUGGGAUCGGGGGGGUGCAUGCACCCAUAGGAGGCAUUAAAUGCCUCUACACUAAUGCUCAUAGUAUGGGGAACAAGCAGGAGGAACUUGCCCUCCUGCUAGCUAACACAAACCUGGACAUAGUGAGGCUCACUGAAACCCGGUGGGAUUCAACCCAUGAUUGGGCAGUAAACAUCAAGGGCUACAGACUGUUCAGGUGGGAUAGAAUGGGGAGGAAAGGUGGCGGUGAGGCACUCUAUGUCAAAGAGCAAUACACGUCCUCAACAAACAGCACAGGGUCACAGUAGGGGCAGACUGAAGUGCUCUGGGUUAGAAUACAAGGGGGUCAGGGGGAAAGGGAGUUAAUGGUGGGUGUCUACUAUUGACCAUCCAACCAGGGGGAAGAGCUGGACUGGGAAUUCUCAGGUCAGCUUGCGGAGGCAGUUAGGUCAAGGGAUGUGGUCAUCAUGGGUGACCUAAACUACCCGGACUUUUGCUGGGAGGAGCAGUCAGCCUGGUCUGACCAGUCAUGUAGGCUCCUAGGCAAGAUACAGGACCUCCACCUAACCCAGGAGGUGCACAGUCCCACUAGGGGAAAUGCCUUGCUGGACCUGGUCCUGGCCACAGGCAAGGACCUGGUGAGGGGACUGCGGGUUCUUGACCACCUGGGCAAUAGCGAUCAUCACCUACUGGAAUUCACCAUCCAGCACAGGGUAUCAAAGGCCUGCAGCAAGGCAACAGCCCUGGACUUCAGGAGGGCUGAUUUCAAUAAGUUAAGGAGAUUAGUUGGGGAGGCACUGAGGAGUUGGGAGUCCAAGACGGAUGGUUGUUCCUUAAGAAGAUGAUCCUCUGAGCCCAAAGGGUGACAGUUCCAAUGUGAGUCAAAGAGAGCAAAAAUGCUCAAAAUCCCCCAUGGCUCACCAAAGGCAUUCAGGAAUGUCUGAAAGCUAAAAAGGAGGUGUACACCUGAUGGAAGGGAGGGGCCAUCACCAAGGAGGAUUAUACCUCCAUCACUCAAGACUGUAGGGAGGCUGUUAGGAAGGCUAAGGCGGAGACAGAACUAGGACUAGUGAUCAGGAUCAAAGAUAACAAGAAGUCCUUUUUUAAAUACAUAGGGAGUAAAAAGAACGCACCAGGUAAUGUGGGGCCCCUGCAGGACAUGCUUGGCAAUCUGGUGGUUGCACUAGAUGAUAAAGCUGACCUCUUUAACAAAUGCUUUGCCUCCAUUUUUCUGAGCAGGGACCGGGACAUCCCCCCCAUCGGGAUUCCCGACAGACUCAGGAGAGGCACAGCCAGGCCUAGGAUCAGAGAGGACCUAGUUAGGGAACUUCUGGUGGGGCUGGACAUGUUCAAAUCAGCAGGUCCAGAUGAUCUCCACCCCAGGGUGCUGAGGGAAUUGGCAGAGGUCAUUGUGGGACCCCUGGCACAGCUUUAUGAGCACUCAUGGUGCUCUGGCGAGGUUCCAGAGGACUGGAAAUCAUCCAAUGUGGUCCCCAUUUUCAAAAAAGGGAGGAAGGAGGACCCAGGUAACUAUAGGCCCAUUAGUCUUACCUUGGUCCUGGGGAAGCUCUUUGAGAAAAGUAUCCAGAAGCACAUCUGCGGGAGAUUAUGCUUAGGGGCAACCCACAUGGGUUCAUUAGGGGCAGGUCCUGUCAGAUCAACCUGGUUUCCUUCUAUGACCAGGGCACAAAAUCACUAGACGCAGGUGUCAUGGUGGAUGUAGUCUUUCUGGAUUUUAGGAAGGCCUUUGACACUGUCUCUCACCCCAUUCUCAUUAAAAAAUGAGGUGACUGUGGUGUCAGUGCCUACACAAACAGAUGAUUUGCACAUUGGCUGGAGGGCUGCACCCAGAGAGUGGUGGUGGAUGGGUCAUUUUUGACCUGGAGGGAUGUGGGCAGUGGGGUCCCCCAGGGCUCGGUCCUUGGACCCGCACUGUUUAACAUCUUCAUCAGUGAUUUGGACAAGGGAGUGAAAAGCACCUUGUCCAAAUUUGUGGAUGACACUAAGAUGUGCGGAGAGGUGGGCAUGCUAGAAGGGAGGGACAGACUACAACUAGAUCUGGACAGGUUACAGGGGUGGGCAGAUGAGAAUAGGAUGGGAUUUAUUAAUGACAAGUGCAAGAACCAGCAGCAUACCUACAGGCUGGGGAACUCCCUUCUCAUCAGCACAGAGGCAGGAAAGGUUCUUGGAGUCAUUAUUGAUUCCAAGAUGAACAUGAGCCGCCAAUGUGAGGACGUGUCAGUAAGGCUAACCGCACCUUGUCAUGCAUCCACAGAUGCAUCACGAGCAGGUCCAAGGAGAUGAUCCUCCCCCUCUAUGUGACAUUGGUCAGGCCACAGUUGGAGUACUGCAUCCAGUUCUGGGCGCCACACUUCAGGAGGGAUGUGGACAACUUGGAGAGGGUCCAGAGGAGGGCCAUUCACAUGAUCAGGAGGCAGCAGGGCAGGCCCUACGAGGAGAAGCUACCAGACUUGAACCUGUUCAGCCUCCACAAGAGAAGGCUGAGAGGGGAUCUGGUGGCCAUCUAUAAACUUACCAGGGGGGACCAGCAGGGAACGGGAGAGCCCCUGUUCCCCUGAGCACUACCAGAAGUAACUAGGAAUAACGGCCACAAGUUAACUGAGAGUAGGUUCAGGCUAGACAUCAGGAGGCACUACUUCACAGUCAGGGUGGCUAGGAUCUGGAACCAACUUCCAAGGGAAGUGUGGUGCUCGCUUCUACCCUGGGAGGUCUUCAAAAGGAGGUUAGAUAACCACCUAGCUGGGGUCAUUUGACCCCAGCAUUCUUUACUGCCCAUGGCAGGGGGUCAGACUUGAUGAUCUGCUCAGGUCCCUUCCAACCCUACCAACUAUGAAACUAGGGUGGGGCGGGACAGGAAGGGGGAUGUAGCACCUCAGGUAAAAGUGGAGAGGCACUUGGGAAGUCAGAUGUCUGGUGGGUUGUAGUGUGUCAGAAUUCCAGAGCAGUUCAUUGGCUCAUAUGUGAAAAAUGGUGUGUAAAUUCCCUUUGAGGAUCAGGCCUGAGAUAUUGGAGAUAGUUGGUGUUCUGUUCUUGUCUUUGAUAGAUUUUUGGUGUGAGCUCAUUCUGGUGCACAGUUGUUGUUUGUAGUUUCCAUCAGGGCACUUGGAUAGAGAUAUGUAUUGUGUUGCGAAGAUAUCUCUAUACUGGAAAUAUCGUUGACAGCAUACCAUCCCUGCUGUUUUCAUCCAAAUCUGCCAAAAAACGACAAAGGUAUAGGCCCAUUAUAGCCUACAGGCAAAACAUCAAAACAGCGGUGAAACAACGAAACAGUUUUGACAAAAUGAAAUGGAACAGUGCUUCAAAACAAAAUGAAACUCAAAAUGAAACACUGUCCUGUUGAAACAGCAGAACAGAAUUCAAAAUGAAACAGUGCUGUUUUGCACAGCCCAAUGAAAGCAUGCACUUCAAUGGACAUGUUAGGAACAAUAUUUUAGUUAACAAGUCAAUAGAAAUGACUUUAGAAAAAAUUAGAGAUACAGUCACUCAUGCCCAAUUAAGUCAACCCUAAAGUCUCCUGUGAUCUUAAAAAAGCCCUUAGUGCAAACUCUGUAAAGUACAGCCCAAAAUAUUAAAUAAAGCCCUAUGCUAGAAAGGGAAAUAAGCUGUAUAUGUAUUCUAACACUUUCUCCUGUAAGCGUAAAAUUAUUUGUAACGGUAUUUUUUGCAGGUGUCACAAGACGGUCUUCCUAAUUCUUUUUUUAUCAUGCAAGCAAGUCUGGACUUCUGGGCAGAGUUGCUAUUUUGAGUUGUAAAAGGCUUUUUUGGAGGCAGCUUUGGGAGAGAGGGACUUACGCAAGCAGCAGGACAAUUUUCUCUCUGUUUUGUGUCUGAUCAGCAUCAGUUCCUGGGUUGAGUUGCAUGCUUGGAAUUGGUGUUAGGGUAAGAUUGCUCUGCAAUUUGACAUUCUUAUACUAUAUACUAGUACACACAUGAAAAUAUAAAGUGCACUUAGUGUAUAUGCAAACUCAUGCCAUUGAUUUCUCCUCUGGGAACUCAGCUUGGAUAUAUAUUCUCUGUCAUCAAAGGAGCCAUGUAACCGAGAGCCUGGGUCUACCUGUUCCUUUAGGUAAAAGCAGCCCAGCCAGAGAGCUCUGCAGCCUAGACAGGAUACAGCAGCUUCAGGUUUUGGGACCAACAAAGGCGAUCAAGAUGAUUAGCAGGCAUGUGAAGGCAGCCCAGGCAGCCUACUGACUGGAAGGAAGUAGGGUCCUGGGAAGAUAUAAGCUCAGAGCCUGAGCUGUCAAGCUAGUCUACAUCUGACAGCUGCAGGGUUGGGAGCUCCUGCUCAGAAGAGCUACCCAGGGAUUCUAGAUUAUCUGCUUUGCUGCCUGCAGGAAUAGUGAGGUUCAGGGAGUUCACAAGGAAUCCAGACAGGGAGGUAUGCUAGCACAAGGGGUGGGGGAAGGUCUGCCCUCUUAAAGGGGCAGAGGGCUGCUUCCACUGUUGUUAUGUUAUAGUUACACCGGCAGUUUAGGUUGGGACUGUAGGGAUGUAUAUGGAGGUCCCAUUAGUUCCCAAGGGACACAAAGUCACCUUGAGCCAAGGCCCAAGUAACUAUAGAGGCUGGAGUGGGCAUAGUGCAAUGUCACAGAGCCAGGCAGGGGCCCGGUUCUUGAGACGGUGAAAUUUGACAGAGGCCAAGGGCCCGGUGCCCCAAAAGGGCAAAUUCCAGGUCUGAUAUGGUGGGCCCCGGCUAGAAGGCCUAGCUAAAGGGGCAGAGGCCAAGGAGGCUGAAGCCCUGACAGUGGAACAUCUGUAAUACCCGCGAGGUUUGGCAGGUAUAUGAUGUACGAGUAUAUGAUGUACAGGAGGAUUGGAGCCAUGCAAUUAGACCCUAAGGUUUUAUGCGCCCAGUAGGGCAUGGUUGACAAGAGAGGCCCAGCAAGGGGCUUGAGACAAGAGGCACCCAGCGAGGGGCCUGGGACUCUUAGCCCAGGGUUUAGUUGAAUCAGAGCCAUGCAGAGGCCCAUGAGCAGCCUUCCUCUAUUAUUAUUUAUUAUUAUUAUUAUUAUUAUUAUUAUUAUUAUUCCAUCAAGGCAUGGCAGAUGAGAAGGGAAGGCACCCUAGGGGUAGAGCAGGGCAUGGUUGCAGAGCCACUAGGGGGCGUCAUGACUGCCCCUGGGAUCCCAACGUGGUACAAGUGACACUGGUGGCAGAAUGGGAAGUUGGUAUUAGGAAAAAGGGCAACAAUAUAUUUCAUAGAGGUCCAAGGCAAUAAAAACUCAGCACUUCUCUUGAGAGUCCUCUUCAAAGUCAAAUAGGCUUAACCUUUUUUUUUUGGUAUUAUAGUAGAAUCCUGAAGUCAACAGAUCAGAACCCCAUUGCCUAUGAGUUUACAAGAAGAUUACAAUUUAAGUAAAAGUUCUCUGAAAUUGAGUAUAAAAAGGAAAACAGCAAAAAAACAAAAAUGAAAAAAUAUGAGAAAGACGAUGGAAAAUAAGAGCAAAAAUAAAGGAGCAGGCUGCAAAUUACCAAAGGGAGGAUCACAUUUUGUGACUUUACUAUAACUGGAGAGGAAGAAAACCCAUAGUGCAGGGCUACCACAGGCAACUUUAUGCACUGCUCAUUCUUACCAAGGGUUAGAAGUGACCAUCUAAAGUUUGUUAAAAUUGUUCUUGAAAACAUGAUGAGUAUUAAUAAAGCAGUUUGUGUAGAGCAAGAAUGCCAUCCAGAGGUUGCUUUGUGUGAAGCUAAUCCACAUAUUCCAUGUGAUAUCUCCAAGGAAGGGCAUUGUAUGUAAUAGCUCUCUUUGACUGUUGGAAGGAUAUUGAUAUAUUUGCUGACUUCCCUGUUACAUCCUUAAAGAAGGAGGCUAAGGGCAAGAAAGCCUGUCACUAAUUACAAGGGGCCUGAACAUUAAGGCAUUAAACUAUGAAGGAAAGACCUAAAGAAGGUAAGGACAUGGCAGGACUAAAUGUAAGACAAAGAUGGAUAGGAAAGGUAUUAGCUCAGCAAGGCUGAACUGACUGAUGACUUAUUCUCUUAACAUAAAUAUUUCCUCUAGCUUUGACUUCUUGAUUUAGCAUUUCCAGUGUAAAUAGUGUAUAGAGCUGUAAAAGGAGAUGUUACUUAUGGGAACAGAAAUGGAUUUGCAUCUAAAUUGCAGGACAAGGGGCAGUUAGGCCUGUGGGGCAAGAUUAAGGCCUACAAACACUAUGUAUGAAUGCAAACACUCAGGGCAAUAAAAGUUAAGCGUUUUCAGGAUAAGAGUUUACAGGACCAGGACCUAAAUUUGACGUUUGCAGUGACAGCCAACAGAUUUGACUGUUGCAGGUGUCUGAGACUGUAAUAUGAAAUACCUGAAGAUGGUGGUUCAUGGUUCUUAUAUCAGAGGCCCCAUAGCAUACCUAAUAAGGAAGCUAGUCUAUGAAAAAGACCUAAGUUUUAAUGACCUACUCAAUACUAGUGUUGUAUGGUGAUAAAUGCCACAACACUGUGACAUGGGCACUCUAGGAGAUAAACAGGAGACAUGGCAACCCUGGGCUGCUUCCUUGUGAUGUGCCUUCUAGCAGUUGUUGUAUAACUCUAUAAUAUGUUCUAGAAUUGAGGGUUUUUUUAAUACUUCUGGUUUAAGAUAACAGAAAAUGAAAAAAAUGAGUUAUAUACAAUGGCUAAGACUCUGAUUUUCUCCCAGUUUUAUAUUAGUGUAACUCUACAUAGCUAACUACCACUCUGUCCAUUGGCUUUAGUAAAGUUAUUCUUGAUUUUUACAAGUGUAAGUGAGAGAAGAAAAAGAUCCCAUAAACAUACAACACAUUCUGCUGUAGUGGUUUGAUUCCCUUAAUCUUAUUCUGAUGUAAAGCAAAAAUGACUUUGUUGAUGUCAAUGGUGUGAUUCAGAUUAAAAUCUGGUUUAACGUGACUAUGUAUCUAUACACUGUUGCCAGGACUUUUCUUAGAGAUAUUAACAGUUGCAUAGAAAGGGUCUGAGCUGUUAAAAUGUGAAUUAUAUGCUGAAAGCAGAUUCCUACAUCUACUUAACACCCUCUCCUCCUCCACUACCUUUCAGGCAAAAGAUAAAUAAUUAUUAUGUCUCUUCUUUCCUUUUUUGAAUGUACCUAAGAGUCAGGGUUGAUUAGAACAUUUUAAAUAUUUCCUAUGACUGUAACUAAAGAUUAUCAUCAUAUGGAAAUCUUUUAUUAACCACAUUCAUAGAGGUCCUCAGGUUGUAAAGAGACUGCCCUACUUUGCACAGUAAUACUGAUGAAUUAGUUACUGAUGCAAUAGAGUAUAUUCACUCAGCUCCUGAAAAGCAUGGGAUUUUCUCAGCUGUGCAUUGUGGCUAAGUGGGGCUCACCGACUAGCCAGUGUUAGAUUCCCCACCUGCCUUUGGGCACACUCCCCACCUGUCUUUCCUGCCAUGCCUUGUUGUUCAUAGAUUUCAUAGACAUUAGGGCUGGAAGGGACCUUGGAAGAUCAUUGAGUCCAGACCCUGCCCGAAGGGCAGGAAGUCAGCUGGGGUCAUAGCAUCCCAGCAAGAUAAGCAUCCAAUUUACUCUUGAAGGUGUUCAAUGUAGGUGCUUUAACCACCUCCAAUGGCAGGCUGUUCCAGACCUUGGGGGCUCAGACAGUAAAGAAAUUCUUCCUUAUGUCCAGCCUGAAUCGGUCUUGCAGGAGUUUCUAAUCAUUUGACCUCGUCAUUCCUUGGGGUGCUCUGGUCAACAAACAUUCCCCCAGAUACUGGUGGUCACCCCUGAUAAACCUAUAGAUCGCCAUCAGAUCACCCCUGAGCCUGUGCUUUUCCAACCUAAAGAGCCCCAUGGCUCUCAGCCUGUCGUCGUAAGGUCUGUUUUCCUGACCUCUGAUCAUGCGUGUGGCUCUUCUCUGGACUCUCUUGAGCUUCUCCACAUCCUUUUUGAAUUGUGGAGCCCAAAACUGGAUGCAGUGCUCCAGCUGCGGCCUCACCAAGGCCGAGUCCAAGGGGAGAAUGACGUCCUGGGAUUUGCUUGAGAAGCAUCUAUGGAUGCAAGCCAGCGUUUUGGUCGCUUUACUAGCUGCAGCAUUCCAUUGCAGGCUCACAUUCAUCUUGUGGUCAAUGAUGACCCUCAAGUCUCUUUCUUCCAUAGUGCUAGCCAGUAUAGCACUGCCAAGCCUAUAAGGAUGCUGCGGGUUUUUCCUCCCACAGUGGAGAACCUUGCAUUUUUCAGCGUUAAACACCAUCAGGUUCUCAUCCACCCAAUACCUGAGCCUGUCAAGGUCUGCCUGGAUCACCUACUCUCCUGUCCUCAGGUGUGGAUGCUUUGCCCCAAAUUUUGGUGUCAUCGGUGAACUUGGCCAGUCCACUUCUGACUCCAAUGUUCACAUCAUUAAUGAAGAUGUUGAACAAUAUGGGUCCAGGGACAGAGCCUUGGGGGACCCCACUGGUCACAGGGUACCAUGAUGAUUGACUUCCAUCAAUUACUACCCUCUGGGUCAGACCAUGGAGCCAAUUUCCCAGCCAGCAGAUCAUAGUGGACCCAAGGCCACAGUUGGCCAGUUUCACCAAGAGGUGAUCAUGGGAUACCAGGUUGAAGGCUUUUUGGAAGUCAAGAUAUAUGACAUCAAUCUCUUCUCCCUUGUCCAGGUGAUAGGUCACCUGGUCGUAGAAGGAAAUGAGACUGGUCAAGCAAGACCUAUCCGCAACAAACCAGUGCUGGCUAUCCCUCAGGAAGUUGGCGUCAGCCAGUCCAUUAAGGAUGGCCUCUUUAAUAAACUUUUCUAAGAUCUUCCCUGGGAUAAAUGUCAGGCUGAUGGGCCUAUAGUUUGCCAGAUUCACUUUCCUCCCUUUCUUGAAUAUAGGCACCACAUUGGCCUUCUUCCAGUCUUCGGGCACUACACCAGAGUGCCAGGAGUUUUCAAAGAUCCAUGCCAGUGGCUGGGCUAUGAUGCUCGCCAGCUCCUUGAGUACCCUGGGGUGUAGAUUGUCAGGGCCGGCUGACUUGAAGGUAUCCAGCCUCUCAAGGUGUUCCUUCACGAGGUCAGCAUUGAUGGAGGGCAGGGGAUCUCCCUCACCCAAACCUCCCUGUUCUGUAGUGGGCAUGGGUGUCCCAUGGGACUGAUGAAAGACCAAUGCAAAGUAUCCAUUUAAUAGGCUGACUUUUUCUGGGGCAUCAGUUGUCGCAUCUGGUUCAGCAGGGGUCCAAUCUUGCCCUCGCUUUUUCUCCGGCUCCUCACAUAUUUGAAAAAGGACUUUUUAUUGUCCUUGAUGCUCAAAGCUAGUUGGAGUUCAGUUGCAGCCUUGGCUUUCCUGGUUUGCUCCCUGCAGGACCGGACCAAUGCAGAAUAUUCCUCCUUGGCGGAAUAUUCCUUGGAGGUGAAUCCCCACCCAUUCCUUGGAGUUGAAUCCCAUUCCUCAUCUUUUUUAGGCCUUUCUUUUUAGCCUCAGGAGGUCUGCUGGAUCCCUGGGCUGCUGUGCCCUCUUGCUGCCUUUCCUCCAAGAUGGAAUAGAAUUAGCUUGUGCAUUGAGGAUUGCUUCCUUGAGGAGCAACCACUCUUCCUGAACUCCCCUCCCCUUGGGGUCGUGGUCCCUUAGGGCCUCACUGACAAGCCUCCUGAGCUUGUCAAAGUUGGCUUUCCUGAAGUCAAGGACUUCAGUGUUGCUGACUGACUUGCCAGCUUUACAGCAGAUGGUGAAGGUGAUCAGUUUAUGGUCGCUGUCACCCAGCUUCCCAUCGAUCACUAGGUCACCAAUUACGUCAUUCCCAGUAGCCAGUAUCAGGUUGAGCAGCGCUUUACCUCUCAUUGGCCCAUAGACUUCUUCAGUCAGGUAGAGGUCAUCCACGCACAAUUGGAAUCAUUGCGACCACUCGGAUUUUGCUGAGUGAUCCUCCCACAAGGUGUCUGGGUAAUUGAAGUCACUCAUGACAACCAUGGUCCUGGAGCAUUUGGCCUCAGCCAGUUCCUGGGCAAACUCCUGGUGAAGCUCUUGACUUUGGGUGGGAGGUCUGUAGUAGACUCCCACCGUUGUGUCCCCCGUGUUAAUUAAUUAGGAUAUUAAUUAAGGUGGGAGGCUGCCCAUUCUUGCCUCAAUGCCAGGGGGUACUAUCCACCACUCCGUUUCUCCCCUACACUGCAGCCCAAGACUCGCAGAUGGCAUCUAGAUGACAAUGCUCCUGGCCUACAGUUGGGCCAAGCUUAGGCCUCAUUGUCAGACUUCAGACACACACACAUUCAUACCGCCCUCCUCUCACUAGGGCCUCUCACACUACACUCUCUCUCACAGGGUCUCUCUCACGCGUCAACAAUUUAUACUGCCUUGCUCCCUCUUCAAGCGGGCCCCUUAGGCCAUAGGCUUUAGCUAGCUCAUACCUUGGGUGGCAGAUGUACCAUCUUUUGGGUCUCUCCCAUGAGCCUCACCGGGGUAGUGGCCAGCCAAUUACUUGCCUGGGUCUAAGCUUGUCCUGGCCCCUUCCUGGGGCAACUCUAUACCCUCAGACAUACAGGGAUCCCAGCUCUCUGGUUUUUCUUCCCCAAAGUGGGGCUCCUCAUCUCCGCCCCCUUUCUGGGGCCACUCCUCAUUGGGGCGUUCUUAACUCACACCAUGACUGGUGUUCUGGGGUCUCACGGGGACUCUCACUCCCCCCCCGGAGCAGCAGGUCAUUGUGCUCAAAUAUAGGUCUCACUUUUGACCCACACUCAGCCUCCCAGUGAUGGAGGACUUACCGGGGCCAGGACUCACCUCUAUCUCUCAGACUGAGCCCACUUACUCGGCCUCUGGCCAAAACUACAGCCUCAGGUAUCUGAAGACAUAUCUUGGCCUACUCCCUUCACUUGGGCUCCACACCGCCCCCUCACUGGGGCCACAGGGCUUCCCUCCCCAGUGGGCUCAGGUGGCCAUAGCCGUGCCUGGCCCCCAUUCUUCCUCCUCAGGGUCUUGUACCCCACAGGGCUCAGGUGGCCACAGCUCUGCCUGGCCCCACUACCUCCGAUGUUACAUAACCCAUCUGAAGGUGAGGACUGGGGUUAAGGCACCCCUACCUGCCUUUUACCAGGGUGAUAACUGGCCUGGCAUUUCCUGGGGGCUCCUGCACCACUGAGUGUCCCACCAGGCCACCCACUCCUGGCAGGGUGCAGUUUUAGGUCAUGCCCAGGACCAGGAGCCUCCAAACCAUCCCCUUAAGCUCCUGCCUUUACCUCCAGGAUGUUGCAUGAAGCCUUACAGCCAGGCAAUGUUAGCGCCUGGCCUGCCAGCAGUGAACUGCUCUAAUUGUAUAGGCAGCCAAAGAUCUAAAAUGGCCACUACAAUCAAGCAUCUGCUGGCUGCUUGGCUCUGCUGUUAAAGUGGCAGGCGCCAACAGUUCCCUGCCACAGCAUAAGCCAUGAUGCAAAAUUAAUUCUGUUUUUCUGUAUACUGAUCUCUUAUCUUCUGUGCAUAUGAAGAUACAGAAGGUCCUAAAGUUGUUCAGUAGGAUGUCUUUAUUGUUAGACACUGUACUGGGACUGAAGAGACUUGGGUCAGCUUCUGGUACAAGCUUCCUGUAUGACCUAGUACAAGUCAUUUAUUUUCUUCAUGCCCCACUUGCUGAGCUGUAAAGUGGGGAUAGUAAUAGUUAUUUUUCCCUCAAUUUAUCUUUCUUUCCUAUAUAGCUUAUAAGUACUGUUAGGGUUAUGAUAUGGAUUUUGGGGAGUACUGAGUGUGCAGAUGAAUGAAGGCUUCUGUGUCUCAGCAAAAGCUGCUAGUCACAAGGCUGGAUGAUAUAUUAAAAGUUACUCACUUUCCUAAUGUUUAAGUAAGUGGAUUCCUAACAAAAGGAUAGGGUGCAAAGUGCAUGAUGUGUUGUCUAAAAAUAGAAUACAGACCAAUGGCUAUCGUUAGGGGACAAAGCAGAAGUAUAGCCUUGGAGAUGGUGCUGAAGUCAGCAAGAAAAUCAGAAAGAACCAGCCAGAAACUGCAAGUGACCGAAAGGAGCAGAGGUCAACGUCAUACGCAUGCGCUCUUAGCAGACAGGCAUGUAAAUGAAUGAAAUGCAUAGGCAAUACCAUGCUAAGAAUGCAAACAGUAAACAGAGGUGAAGCUUGAGAUGGGAGGAGAAAUGGUUGGAACCGAAGGAGAUACAUAGGCAGAGUAAUUGUUAAUGAGUAUGAACCAAGGUGUAUAAAAUGUUCAGGGAGGCUCCCUGGUUUGUUGGGUUUUUUUGUGAGCUAGUCUGAAGAUGUUUCCAUUUUGAAUAAAGCUGUUGUGAGCAAUGUGUGCUGGUGUUUGCUCCCCGCUUGCACUGGGUAAUGAAUAACAGGAUCCAUGAGCAAUUGGAUCGUCGUCUUCCUAGUCCUUGGGCGCCGCAUGGAGUCAGAGUCUAACAAGUACUUUUGGACAGGUAAGGUCAUUUUUUCUUUUUGUACAAUGGGGCAUAAUGGGACACUGAUCUCAGCUGUUUCUAUGUUACAAAUAAAUAAUAAUAAAUGUCCAGGUCACAUCUAUUUUGUUUCACAUAAUAGUAUAUCAAAGCACCAAGCUUUCAGCUUUUGUUGGUGUAGAAUACACCAGUCCCUCUUAAGCCACAGAAUAAAAUGCUUUAAAAUCUAAUUUUCCCCACAGGUCCUUCUCUGAAAUGCAAUGUUACCUCCUCCUGGAGUUUCAUUAGUUGUGGUUUGUUAAAGACGAACUGCAAAGACCCCAGAGAGACUCCAGUUGUUCUCAGUGUAAUGCUGAUAAUCCUGACAAUUGGCAGUGUUGUCUAUUUCCCCUUUGUACAACUUUUCCUUAAAUCUGUCUUUUAAUAUCAUGACAAAUGUUGUAGGGGCAGGGUUGGCAGGGAGAAGAGAACUUUGUCCCAGUCAUUUUUCUGGAUUCCCCUUCACUAGGUUAGUGUAGCAUCCACUUCUGCAGCUUUUCCUCAUGGCAAGUAGCACUUACAUUAUUAAUUUCAUUCACUUCUGUGGGCAUAGUUGCGUCAGGGUUGCAGAAUGUCACCAUAUAUCCAUGACAGAGCUUUUCCUUCUCCCACACCUUCUAUUUGCACCAUAGUUUAAAAAAAAAAAAAAAAAAGACACUCAUAGAACAAACUAAUGAAAUAUGGAUUGUUUAGCCACCAGUUCAGCCCUGUGGCUUUUGUUUGGAGGUGGCCAAUAACUACUUUUUAUCAUUUUCAAAAAAAAGGCAAGAGAAACUGACCCAAACUACCUUAUACCAGUUAGGUGCCUAUUCUAUUGUUUAAAGGGAGAAAGGCUCAUUCCAGUAAAAUAGAAUGGAGGGAUCCCAUUCAUCCCUUGGGCCUAGUCUUUGUAAUUUUUUUCUAUUUCUUUAACUAUAUAGUUAAAAAAUAGCUACAGUUAAAUAGUACUACCCCCUUGUGUGGACUUAAUUCCAAAGAUGCUUAUACAGAUAUAGCUUAUUUCCCAUAGGCAAUAUAAGCACCUUUAUGCCUUUAUGUGUCUGCACUAGUGGGUUUUACUGCUUUAAUUAAAUCAUUUUCUACAAAAAAAACCAACCCCAACAAAGCUGUGUGUGGACAAUUCCCUUAUAUGCUUGCCUUUAUUUAUACUGUGUAUAGAUAAGGCCAUAAAAAAAUGUGAAUUUUUGUUGUGUCUUAAGACCUUGGCUAUUCAUCCUGUCACUGUGGGUGGAGUAAUAUUUACAAGAGAAGAGGAAAACGACAACUGUGUUAGCAGCACUGACUCCUGUGAGUUUGCCAUUGGCCUGAGGGCUAAACUGAAGAGCGUGAGAACCAACAGGCACAGGAAUCUGUGAGAGCUGAGUUUCACAGGAGAGCAACAAUAUUAAAAGGAGACAUUGCACGUAACUAAAAUAUAACAACUGAGGACUCCUAAAGACAACGUAAACACAUUCCCUAGCUAGUAAAUACCAUUAACCUUCCGCUAACUCAUUCUCAUUAUAAAUAAAAACAUGCAAUGCAGUUUCUUUAUAGGAAUGUCUAGUUUUACAACCACUGUAUUUGUUCAACAAUAGUCUAUAUAUAUAAAGGGCUUAGUCCAUUUGUCUGUGUGUCUGUCUGUCCAUAACACUCUUUACAUGUGAAUAGCUUGAAAACAGUAAGAAAUAGAACAUUUGUGUCUUCAGAGAAAUUUCUUUGCUAAACCUUAGCAUUUGUUUAGUACCAUGUCAGAAUGAUCCAACUUCCAGAACUGGAAAAAAGUCAGGGGCCAGGGCUGUUUCUACUGAUCUUCUCCUAGGAGGGUGCUGGGAGCACAGCAAAGUGUGGAGGGCCGAAAGAGGGGCCAGAUGAGGAAAAGCGGGAGUCGGGCAGAGGUGCAAGGCAGUAGGUGAACAGUGCCAGGCUUGUCCUGAGCCCCGAGCAGGGAAGGAGGUGCCUGGUGGUGGUGGCACAGAGGAAACUCCAGGGUGUGGGCAGCUAUUAUGAGGUGCGGAGCUUGCCUGCCUUUGCCCUUGCCCAGCAAAGAGGUAUGCAGGCGGUGACCAGGUGGCAACAUAGGUGGGUCCCCCUUCAGCCUGCUGGAUGAAAGCAAGUGCAGGAAGGGAUUGGUAUCUUCAAAUGUUUAGUAGGGCUGUGAAAAAUUUUCCUGGCUGUUUUGUAUUGAUGCUGUUUUGGCUCAUUUCAAGCUCAAAACAGCAAAAUUGAAAUGAAGGGCUUUGAAAGAGCCUCAAAAUAAAACAAGGGUAGUCAAAAUGUUUCAAAAGUUUCAAAAAGACAUACAAAAAACUAGAACUCUUGGUUCCAAAAUGAUACCUUUUAUUAGACCAACUGGAAAAUGGCAAGAAAAUUGUCCUUUUCUGCAAGCUUUCAAGAUCAAAGUCCCUUCGUCAGGCUCUGAGAAAAGUGUACAUGGUACAAGAUAGUAAAAAGUCCCCAUAGGUAGGAAAUAAACUUCAUUUUUGCACAGAGAGAGCUGAAGAUGGAAGUCUGUCCCUCUGGGUCCAUGAGAGUGUCUUUGUGAGCUGUGUUGAGUAGCUCUUUGAUGUGUUGAUCAGGUAGAAUUUCUUCCCUGAAGGUGUCAGAUGGGAGGCAGGGAGGUAAAAAAACUUCUUUGUUGUUCUGCAAUGAAGUUUAAAAUCCAAAAUUGGCUGAAAUUCGGCAUCUUCCAUGUUUCAGGGGUACUUGGCACAGCAUAGGUUUUCUUGUUGUCCCCUUUCUAAGUCCGUACAGUCCAGUUUGGAUGGUGUACCAUCUGACUUUAGGCCGUACAUCAACUACACUACACUUUUACCAGCCCUGGAUUACCUUGCUCCCUGGUGUGCUUCUGUCUCCCUUUGGUUUGGGUCCACGGCUGCCCACAGAUCCUUUUUGUUCUUUUGUCUCAGGUUGGACAUCGUCCCACUCCUGGCUAGCUGUAUCCAUGAUCCAGUUCUCCAUCUCUAGUCAGUAGUUAGGCCCUCCUGGGCUUAAUUUAUCCAGGUAUGGCUCCUUCUGGGGCUGCCACCACAUGCCCUCUGAGGGGUUGCAAACAGCUUUGGGCCACUCCAGGCCCUUCAGAGGAUUCGUAUCUGAUCCUCUGUGAUCCUCAUCUGGCGAGGAUUUUAUGUCCCACCCCCCAGGGGGCCGGCUGGAGAAUCGGCAUUGGCAUGUCACCAUAAAGUGGGUUCAUGCCGGCACCGGUCCCAGCUCUCCCCUGGCCCAUGGUGGGUUUUUAUCUUUUCUUUAGCGCAGCAUUUUUCUUCUCAGCAGCCCCAUUCCAGCUGCACUUCUGGUUCCUGGUGGCAUCCCACUGGCUCCUUGCCUCUCCUUCCUUAGGUAAGUUUCUUUCCAUGGUGGUGUCCCCACCACACCCACGCCGCAUAAGGCCCCUGACCAUUUAGAAGUUGGACAACCCUGAUUUAUACCUUGCUGUAACAAGUGGGCCUUCCCAGAGCUAGUCAGACAUUGGCCUGCCCACCAGUUUCUGAGCUAACUGCCCAGCUCUCUUGCUUACUACACCUUGUUGGAAAAUGAUUAAGAUAUAACACCAGCAGGAGGCUGUUCAUUCUUCCACCCCGAUCCCAGCGGGGGCGCUAUCUGUGGCUCUUUUCCUCCCCUACACUGAAUCCCAAGCCUCACAGGUGUUUCCUCCAGCUAACUAGCACUGAGACCCAACAUCCAGAGUCUCACCAGGACUCUCACUUCCCACUGGAACUCCUCGUCCCAACACCCUCACACUGGGUUUACUUUGUACACACACACAAAGCAACACACACUGGACCCUGGGCCCACACACUAGGGUCCAAGCCUGCACAUACACUCUUGGGGCUCCAACCCCUUCCCAACUCUCGGGGCUCCUCGCAGCUCCAACCCCUUCCACACUCUUGGGGCUAGAAGCCCUACUCUGGGAUCAGGGCUCUGAGCCCUGUCCCCAAGCCCUCUCUGGGCAGUCCCCUUAUCCCUGGCCCCAGGAGCUUCCUUAAUAGCUCCCCAAGGCUCAGAGCCCCACCCCCCCUAGAGCUUCACACUGGCUCCUAUAUGCAGCCUCAGGCUUCCACUGCAGAGUCUGGAUGCUGCCACAGGUUCCUCCACCAACCUGGGCCCUGCCUCAGUGCUCCUCAGUGAGCCUGGGCCCCCCUUUCUUGAUCUCACCCACCAGGGAUGUUGGAGCUGGGGUUAUUAAGGCACCCUGACCCACCUUUCACUGGGGUGGUAACUGGCCUGGUAUUUCCUGGGGGCUUCUGCACCACUGGGAGCCCCAUCAAGCCACCCACUCCCAGCAGGGUGCAGUUUUAGGUCAUGCCCAGGACCAAGAGCCUCCUAGCCAUCCUCAUCAGUUCUUGCUCUUACCUCCUGGGUUGUUUCUGCUGCAUCUCAGCUAGGCAAUGUUUUUGCCUUCCCUGGGAACAGAAAACUGCAGCCUCUUUAUAUCUGGUUUCUAAAAUGGCUGUCACCAUCAGGUACCUGGUAGCUGCCUGACUGCCCUUAAAGUGGCAGGCACCAACAUUGCCCUGCCACACUUACCCAUCCUGCAACUCUUGGAGCUAAGUUUGUCCUCAAUGCUGACAUGGAUGGCUCUAAAGCUGACUUCUGUUCACAUAGCACUUGCUUAAAACUCAAUCACUUUAGCAGUUAAAAGCAUGAUAUCCUGCCUGUAUCCUAAGUUGUAACCAGUUCAGCACAAUGUCUUUUGCAGUGACAGGAAUUCCUGGUCACAUUUUUAUAUAUUAACUCUGACUAAUCUUUUCUUCUGAAUUGCCGUUCUGAAAAAUAUCCCAGAGAUACUUUCUCUACAUGCUGAACACUUCUUUGAAAAUCAUCUUUCAAGUGUCUCUAGUGGGGAACCCCAGAACAGAGGUACCCACAAUCAUGAGUCCGACCUGCAGACCAGUACCCCAUGGUUGUCAUCCACGUGGGAAUGAAUGAAGCGGCCAGGGGAAACCCUAACUGCAUUAUGAAGGAUUUCGAGGCUCUGGGGGCCAAGCUUAAGGAGACAGGGGCACAGGUAGUAUUUUCCUCUCUUCUUCCAGUGAGUAGGCGGGGACAGCGACACGAGGCCUGCAUUGGCGAGGUCAACCAAUGCUUACGGAGUUGGUGCCACCAGGUGGGCCUUGGGUUCCUAGAUAAUGACCAUUGUUUUCGGGUGGGGGACUUGCUGGGGCAGGAUAGGCUUCACCUCUCUUCUAAAGGCAAGCGUUUCUUCUCUUCCAGGUUGGCUGAUCUCAUACGGCAAGCUUAAAACUAGCCUCACCGGGGGAGGGGGCCGCAGGAAGGCAUGGAGGCACCACCCGAGCAAGACAGGUGACACGAGCAAGGAGUGCCCAGGGACCGGGACUCCCCCACCAUGAUUCAAGAUGGACUCGAGGGGAACGCCUCAAGGCCUAAGGUUGAGGAGGACCAGGUCCAGCAGACUUCAGACACGGAGCCUCUGGAGAGAUUAAAAGGACAACGUGCUCAGCCCGCAGGGGAGAUGUGUCAAGGAACUCAAGAAGAGCGGGGCCCGGAAGAGAUGAGGAGAGCUGCCCAGCAGGUGAUCACCCAGAAGAACCCCUGAAGAUGUCACUCAGAGAGGAAGUGGUGGGAGGCUGCAGCGGUGCAUGGACCCAGUGCGUGACCCAGUGCACAUAGCCUUGUCCCUGGGAGUGGUUCGAGAUUGGUCAGGCCACCUUGCAGUGCACAACGUGGUGCACAGAGCCUCGGCCAUGGGAGUGGUUCGAGACUGCUCAGGCCACCUUGAAUUGCACAACAGAGUGCAUGGAGCCUUGGCCCUGGGAACUGCUUAGGGGGUUCAGGCUUAUGAUCCCAGCAUGAGGCCAAGUAGCCAAAGGUGGUAGUGUGGCUUUGCUCAGUGUGGCUCAGAGCAGAAUACAGGGCCAGCGGGAAAGCCCCAGGCACAAGGCCAGGCAGGCGGAGCCAGAAGUGCAACCCGGCACAGCUGAAAGAGGUCUCAGUGCCCAGAGUGGAGCACAGGGCCAUGGGGAAACCCUGGGAUGAGGCUGGGAAAUGGAGGAGGUGGUGCGGCCCAGCCUGGGUGCCCGGGUGGGGCACCAGGCCAUGAGAAGAGUUAGAGGUGCUGCUGGAGAGUGGCCAUGGUCGAGCCAGUGACCGGGGAUGAGCCCCGACUGCCUAGAGAGGGAAACAUGAGUUUCUGGGCAGGUCCCACCAGGGAAGUGAUUUCUGGGGAAGGGGACCCCACUGGGGAGCCAGUGAGUAAAGGCCCCAGUCCCAGCACUGGCCCAGGAGGGAGGGCACUGUACCCCUAUUGUUGCUAUCAAGAGUUUUGUUAGGGCCCAUGAUCUCUGAGGAAGGGGACCCUAACUUCCAGUGUGUCUAUGUUUCCAGAGUAGGGUGGGUGUGCGCCAAAUAUUUUGGAGGUUGCUUUGUAUAUUUUCUAUACCAUUUCUAACCAAAUUGUUUCUUGUUAUGUCUUACCAUAUGUAUAUAUAUAUAUUCUUGUUUAGUUGCUACUUACUCUGUGUGUGAACUUACCCGUCCACUGCCAUAUUCUGUUUAUUGUCCUAUUGGGUUCCUGGUUAUUCACCUGAUGUGUUGACCUACCCGUGCUUACCUAUUUCAGGAUCCAUCACUCCUCUGUGCCUGGAGUGACUAGGGGACUCACCUUGCUUGUUGCUUAUAUGGUCCCUCUAUCAGGUGUUGGCGCUGGGUGCGACAUCCCAGUGGAGGGUCAGUUCCUGGAUCAUCAAUUAUUUUGGAGUAUUUUUUAUUGUCUAUCCUUUGUAAAUAUUUAUUCUCAUAUGUCAGGUGUAUUUUUAUAUUUAUAUUAUGAAUAAAUAAACUGUAUAUAGUUAAGUAA